rnacentral:tRNA from 1 species
GGAAGUGUGGCCGAGUGGUUUAAGGCACUUGUCUUGAAAACAAGCGACGGCUAAUACCCGUCCGUGAGUUCGAAUCUCACCACUUCCGCCA